UACGGAGGAUGCAAGCGUUAUCCGGAAUGAUUGGGCGUAAAGCGUCCGCAGGUGGCACUACAAGUCUGCUGUCAAAGACUGGGGCUCAACCCUGGAGCGGCGGUGGAAACUGUAGAGCUAGAGUUCGGUAGGGGUAGAGGGAAUUCCCAGUGUAGCGGUGAAAUGCGUAGAGAUUGGGAAGAACACCGGUGGCGAAAGCGCUCUGCUAGGCCGAAACUGACACUCAUGGACGAAAGCUAGGGGAGCGAAUGGG
rnacentral:rRNA from 1 species